rnacentral:rRNA from 1 species
CUACGGGAUGCUGCAGUGAGGAAUAUUGCACAAUGGGGGGAACCCUGAUGCAGCAACGCCGCGUGGAGGAUGACGCAUUUCGGUGUGUAAACUCCUUUUAUAUGUCAAGAAAAUGACGGUAGCAUAUGAAUAAGCACCGGCUAACUCCGUGCCAGCAGCCGCGGUAAUACGGAGGGUGCAAGCGUUACUCGGAAUUACUGGGCGUAAAGGACGCGUAGGCGGGUUGGAAAGUCAGGUGUGAAAUCCUACAGCUUAACUGUAGAACUGCACUUGAAACUUCUAAUCUAGAGUAUGGGAGGGGGAGAGGGAAUUAGUGGUGUAGGGGUAAAAUCCGUAGAUAUCACUAGGAAUACCUAAAGCGAAGGCGAUCUCCUGGAACAUUACUGACGCUAAGGCGUGAAAGCGUGGGGAGCAAACAGGAUUAGAUACCCCUGUAGUC